CUAGGACUUUACAACUUGCUUUCAAUUUGAGUCUGUAAAAAAGGUUGGCUGAUAUUUCAAGAAAUAUGUAAAAGGGCCAACAACUAGUCCACAUGACAUUGGCCUUUUUGUAUGCAUGAAGCUGUGAGCAGUGCUUCUGAAUGGCAAAGAGGUCACACUUAGCUAUGUAAUGUAUAGGAAAUGAAGCAGUCAGAGAACAAAGAUCUUGUGGCUGUCAUACCUUGUUGUGAAUGAAUCAAAGGAGGGCUGAGAUUAUUUGGGCUGGUAAGCUUGUAGAGAAGAUAAGAUGAGGGUGUGUGGGAGAUUAUACAUAAAUAACUGGUAUGUGAUGUAAAGUACAGUAGACCCACAGAAUGUCUCUGAGCUGAUAUAGCCGGGAUGAGGAUGCUCUUUCUUUGAAGUGAUCAAAGUCAAACACACAUCACAGAUGGAUUUACCAGGUGCUUGUGAAAAAGGAACUACUGGGUAUAUAGCAAACGGCUGAUUAGAUAGGAGCCUGAUGGACUUUAUAAGUGUCCUGAAUAUUUUUUUCACAAUUCAAUGGCUCUGUAUGGGAUAAAUUGAAUUGUACCCCCAAGCACAGGAAUGAUUGUUGUGUUGACACAGUGAUAAAAGACAUCUGCAAAUAGACUUUGUUGAGUGGCGGAAUUUCCUCCCCCACACCGCAGUUGUGAAUGAUAUUGAAACUGGUCCAAACCAAUUCUCUGAGAGCCAUCAUAUGAAAAUGACUAUUUUAAAGAGAGUUUCUCCCGUCUAACACCUGAAACACACUGAAGAGCAAUUUAUGAAUUGAGUUUUUGUCAUUGGUCCUCCUGCUUGUGCCACUAGGUACUGUAUGGACCGUAGGAGUUAAAGAGAAGAGAACUGACAGCAUGAAACCAGCCAGUGGCAACAGUUAUAGCAAGGGAACACCCCUGAAAAUUCUUAACAAGGGACCAGAUUACUUCAGGGAGCGAGUGAUGAAAAGAUCAUCAGGUAUGAUGAUGGUGCCAAGUAGAUGUAAGAGUGCUGUUCAACUGCUGGAAGAAACAAAAUCCCAGUAUGUGAAAAGUACAACAGUUCUAGUCAACAAGCAGAAACCAAGGAAUGCUGAAAAUCUUCAAGUUGGAACCAGGUUUGUUUAAUUUCUUAUUAUGGGAUAUAAUUUUAUUAAACAUUUAUUUACAUUUUGUAAAGCGUUAUUGGUCCUGUCAUAUGUUACUUCAUCAAAUGUUACGUAUAUCAAAGAAAAAAAACAUUCAAAAAAAUGUUUCAGAAUCAUCAGCAAAUUAUUGAUGCUCACCAAACUGUAGUGGAAAGAAGUCCUAUUAUAGAAACAUUGGGUUACUAGGAUCCCCCUUUUUCUUCAUGCU